AUUGAACGCUGGCGGCAGGCCUAACACAUGCAAGUCGAACGGUAACAGGAAACAGCUUGCUGUUUCGCUGACGAGUGGCGGACGGGUGAGUAAUGUCUGGGAAACUGCCUGAUGGAGGGGGAUAACUACUGGAAACGGUAGCUAAUACCGCAUAACGUCGCAAGACCAAAGAGGGGGACCCUCGGGCCUCUGGCCAUCGGAUGUGCCCAGAUGGGAUUAGCUUGUUGGUGGGGUAACGGCUCACCAAGGCGACGAGCCCUAGCUGGUCUGAGAGGAUGACCAGCCACACUGGAACUGAGACACGGUCCAGACUCCUACGGGAGGCAGCAGUGGGGAAUAUUGCACAAUGGGCGCAAGCCUGAUGCAGCCAUGCCGCGUGUAUGAAGAAGGCCUUCGGGUUGUAAAGUACUUUCAGCGGGGAGGAAGGGAGUAAAGUUAAUACCUUUGCUCAUUGACGUUACCCGCAGAAGAAGCACCGGCUAACUCCGUG
rnacentral:rRNA from 1 species